UCUCUAUCUCGUUAGUCUCUCUUUCUCUCAUAGCUUUGGGGGUUUGAUCUUUGGUUUGAGGAAAAGGCUUGGGGAAUGAAGGGAAUUGAAGCUAGGAAGGGAUUGACAGCAACACAGGGUCGUGAUUCUUCAUUGAGGUUGCCGCUAGGGCUCGAGAGAGGAUCAUUCUCGGGAGUCAUGCUUGCUUUCCUAAUUGCUCACACUCGGACCAAAGGUAAAUGGAAAGGGAAGCUGGACCAGCCAUGAGUUGUAGAGUUUGGGUGGCAACGUGUACAUAUGUGGCUGCUCGACCAUCACGACUGGGGUUUCUCAGAGGAACUAGGGUCAAACCCUGUUUUGCCACUUAGGUCGGUUGUUUUGUAAUUUUGAGUUGUAGUUACCCUUUUGAAACGGUAAACAACUGUGUAAUGUUUCAUUUGGGAUCCCAUGU